CUUCAGCCUCUCUCCCCCACUGUUGGUGGAGUUGUAGUACUCUAGCGUGUAGUUCCCCAGGCCAGCUGUCUGGAAUAGUACGGGCAGAAGAUCCACCAGGAACCCGUAGAAGGCUGCAUUGCCUCUCCUAGUUCCGUCGAUGAACACAAAAGGAGGCCUGGGCAGGACACGACCUCUAUCAAUCACCACGUCACAAAGGUACUUGAAUGUGGUAAUUUGGGAGUUGUAGCCCGUGAGCCAGGAUCCCAGGGUAGACCUGAGCAUGGCCUUCUGAACUGUAGAAGUAUUUGCGGGCCUGACACAACAGGAAUUUAGAAGGCCUAGGAAAGCAUUGUGAAUGCAUGUGCGAGAAGAUUGGAAUGGACAGGUCAGAGGACGGAAGUCACGAUCUUCCUGAACCCCACCAGCUCUCUCAGGAGGCACUCGGUUACUGAUGUUGGAUAUUGAAGUGAUCAAGGUUCCCCUUUCCUAAACAGCUAAACGGAGACAAUGCAGAGUGCUUGCCCUAAGCAGCGGAUUAAAUAAACAUCAAUAAACUGAGUGAGAGCACCUGAUGCCAUUGGAAUUUUUGCGUUCUCAUGCCCAAGGAUUCGGCAUGAGUUCAUCCUUGAUCUGGUGCACUUGAUAAACCCUUUUCGUUGUGGGGUCCUACGCACAGCUGUGAAAAGAUAUACAACAAUGGAGAUUUUCCAAGUAAUAUAAGUGCUGUUAUGUUGCAAGUAAAUCACCUGUGGGCCGCAACCACACGGAGAAUGCUCGAACUCACAUUCGACAUCAGAUCACGGCGUGUCACAUAUUGUUAGGAUGGCUAAGAAUGUGCUCCGGUAUAUACGACAUAUCUAUGAGCAUUGCAGGUUUUCUACUUGAACGGUGGAGUAGCCUCUACUGAAGCCUUU
rnacentral:lncRNA from 1 species